rnacentral:rRNA from 1 species
UCUCUCUGAAUCUGCGAACGGCUCCGCAAACCAGUUGUAAGCUAUAGCAAGAAUGCCCCGAAACCGGCCUCACCGCUUGGAGUAGAGGGUGACAGGGAUACCCCUGGUAAUUCUGAGGCUAAUACCUGCGUGUACGCCCCUGGACGCCCUCGUGGCGACCGGGGACCGUGCGAGCAUUGAUCGCGGCGGGAAACUGCCCGGGAAAGGACGCACAGUCAAACCGCAGCAAAAAAGGGUCCUUCCGAGCACCGCCUCACGGCGGGGCAGAGUUGGUCCUUGCGGGUCUUGCGGUGCGCUUCUGACCUAUCAACUGUAUAGCAGUGUAAAGGACGUGCUAUGGUCACAACGGGUACAGAGGAUUAGGGUUCGAUCCUGGAGAGUGGGCCUGAGAGAUU